GGCACAAGGGACUUCCGGCUCUUGACUCCGCCCAGCCGCGCCACCCAGGAACUUUAUAUGUUAUAGAAGUUAGCCCCAAGAAUGAAAUCGUGUCCUUUGCCAAAACAUGGAUGGAGCUAGAGGCCUUUAUCCUAAGAGAUAGGAUGGAGUGUCACCAAGAUAGAAGACAAAAACAUAAGCUGUGAAAUGUGAUUAUAAAGUAGUGACAUGAGUGCCAGAAACCACGGAGGAAACGUCUCCUUGUUCUGGAUCCACACUUCAUACGUGGUCAUUGAAACGUGGCAUCAAACGGGAGGAAUGUGAUGGGCCAGGUUAGGGGAAGAGCACCAAGCAGGGCCUUUCCCUGGGAGAUGGCACCACGUGACAUGCUUCAUACGGAAGCACAUGGGCCCUCAGCGCUGGUAUCUUGCUUCACCUGGGGAUGGUGAUGAAAUGAUGCAGAGCUGACUCAAUACGAUACAGAGCUGACUCAAUACGAUGUGUGGGAUCUUCCAUCGUGAAGCAGCUGGGAGCACCAGGAGGCAGGUUUUCCCGUGCUUAUGGAAAGCACCACAUUGUUCUGCUGGGGACAUGUUCUUUUACUCCAAGGAGUAGUGGAUGUGCAAUGGGCUGUCCUGCCCGUAGAGAUGUGUGGGGCUGGCUGCUGAGAACAGAUGGCAACUGGCUGGCUCUGAUGCCUCAGAAGAGGUGAAUGCAUUCGGAGAGGCCACAGCUGAGAGUCCCUCAAACUGGGGAGUUAUUAUUCUAAAAGUUGGAUUUUUAGCAAGAUUUUACCAGGUGAGGCUGAUUAAAUGAUGGUGGCAGGGGCGGGGAGAAAAACAAAUAAAAGUGAGUUGAAGUCAA
ensembl:lncRNA TAGAP-AS1 TAGAP antisense RNA 1